UCGCGGGGUGGAGCAGUCUGGUAGCUCGUCGGGCUCAUAACCCGAAGGUCGCAGGUUCAAAUCCUGCCCCCGCAAUCC
rnacentral:tRNA from 1 species